GGGGGAUGUUGGCCCGGAAACCGGGAAAGGGAAUAACACUCGAAAUGUAAAUAAGAUAUACUCAAGUUAAUAAAAAAAAAAACAACUCUAUAAACAUUCUAAACAUUCGUCGUUCUCCUAAAAUCACUAGUCUUUUUUUUUCUACACAUAGCAACUUGAUAGCUGUCACAGGAGAGAGAAGUCACAACCUCAGUGAAAAUAUUUUUAGUAAAGAAUCAUAGCAACCUUAUGGUAGUUAUUAUCUGAAAUUCAUCCAUUUCUAAACGUCCAGAUGACACUGGAUAAAGUAGCUUUGUACUGGAAAACAACGACUGUAGAGCAAAAGUCUCUAUCACGAGAUUCUUCCCCCCUCAAAUAAUGUAAAACGAGAUAAACAAUGAAAAUGCAACUAAAUUGGUGAGAACGUUCAACUUUUUAACUGGUAAGCGAUUUUUAAAAAUUACGUUCCUAAGAACUAGUAAGGAAUAAAACAUUCUAAAUACAAAUUAAUAAACAAAUCAAAGUGUUCCUGAAGCGAAGGUAAUCACAUAGGAAGAUGUACCCCAAUGAGCAUUCUUUGUCUGCAUCUGCUGGGAACACGUGCUUUGGAAAUUAAUUUUUAGACCACAAAUCAACCACAAAAACAUGACAAAAAUAUAAAAAUGUUCACGGGUCCCUCUAGUCUCACUCCCAAUAAGGCAGACUACUGAAAGGCAUUAAUAAAGGUCUAAAGGCAAAUUAAUUAAGAAAAAUACAGCUUUCACUACUAGCAACUCCAAUAAAAGAGAAGGAGAAACUGACGUUACUCCACAGCUAUCAUAAGAAGUCUUUUAAUCAAACUUUGUCAAAUAUUUCCAAAGCUCUGCUCAGAGGCAAAUGUGCAACCUCAAAUAUGUUCAUUAUUCAUUAGCAAAAAUGAACAACAUUAAUCUAAGCAUUUCACUUCUGUAAAAUAACACAGCAUGCCUAAAAACACUAGAGGAAGAAAAACAUUGAAAUGUAUUUGCUUGACACAUUCAAAAGAGGAAUUCUGACAAAUAAAUUGAAAUGAUAGUGGAGGAGAGCAAUGGUAAAUGCAGUAAAUACAUUAAUUUAGGCACAUAUAUUAAGACUAAAGAGAAGAGUAUCCUAAAUAUAUCAUAUCAUAAUGGAAGGUUCCAUUUAUAGAUCAAGGAUGGUCUGUAUAGUCCUGCCACCUGUCUACGUGAAUACACUUGAGAAAGUCAAUGCAGGAGACACUUUCCUGGAAUGUUCUAUGCGAUGAAAACUGACUCAGGCAGUCACAGGAAAGAGAAGUCUCCAAUACUUACUGGAAAGAAUGAAAUGUAACUCAGGACUUCCAAGGAUAGUAUUUGAUGGUUUUAGUCCAUGGGUCAUUUAAACUAUGACUUCUCAAAGUAGGUGCAAUUGUCAUUUUGUAACUGAGACCACACAAGGUUUUAUGAGUUUAUUUUAUGAAACUAAUAUUGACUUGAGAAGGAGAAGAACAUUAAGCUAAUGCAAUAGUUGUCAAAACUCAAAAUAAUUUACUUAAAAAUACUGUAUUAUAGAAGGAUUUAACAUGGCAGCAGCAGUAUUUAAUUACUGAAAUUAUAAAUUAUUUUAAGAUUUAUUUUAUUUAUGUAUAUGCAUUUUGCCACAAGUGAGUGGCUGCCUUUGGUGGCUAGAAAGUAUGAUAAAUUCACUGGAGACAGAGCUGGAGUUCGAGGCAGCUGUGAGUCACCUGACUUAAGUGUUGAGAACAAGACCUCUCAAGAGCAGUCAAUGCUCUUAACUGCUGAGCCGUCAAUCUAGCCCCAGAAAAUUAUUUUAAAAUAGGCAUAGAUAAAUGUACUUUUCCAGCAUGACAUCCUUUCUAAACUAGGUUACAAAUUCUCAGGUAGUAAAGGCACGAUUAUAGUUAAUAAAGUGCGUUGGGAACAUUGUUCCCUUAGUUCAGGAUUAUGACACUUCCUAACACUCCUAUUAGUAUCUUACAAUAUUUUAUAUCUUUGACCAAGAGAAAAAGUUGUAAAGUUCAAGUAAAUCUUUAGCUCUUGAUAAUAGGAGACAAAUAGCUGAAGCUAUGAGUUGUUUGUAUGGACACAAAAGAUAAUCGACUGACACAUGACUCACACGUUUAAAGUCUAUCAAAAUGUUGAGAAUGUAGCAGCAAUAGCAAGUCAAGGGACAACACGGCAAUAAACUAUGAUGCAACAAAUCACAGAAUCUAUGAAUAUAAGAAACAGCUGGACGUUAGGGAAAUUAAACCAAUAUAAAAAUGUGGAUAAAACAAGAAAUUAUAUAGUACACAAUGGACUAUUCUAUGUAUGAAGAUACCAAAUACGGCGAUAAGUUGUGUCCCUUGUAUCAGCAUAGACUUUCAAGAUAAUCAAGUUUCAAGUUAUCUUCUUGAAAGCUGGGAGUAGGGAUAAAAAGAUAACUUGAAGUUUUUGUUGGUAGAAAAAUUUAAAACUAGUAGAAACAAUGAUGAAAACUAGUAAUAUUAAAGUACUUAGGAAUUAUAGACAGAAUUAUAAAAUUACAAUGAGCAAGCAAAAUGGAGCUGGGUCAAGAAUCACCAUACUUUACAACCAACCACAUUCCCUUUUCAGUCAUAAUUCACAGCACAGGAUUUAUUGUAUUCAAACUGCAAUAAAGAAUACAGCACAUAACAAUAGGGGAUCAAUUAAUUAUUCAGGAUAUGCUGCUGAGAAAAUGGUUAAGUGUAUAAGAGAUUAAUAAGGUUAGACUUUCCCUGGGACUUUCAUUAAUAUUUAGUCCAUAUACUUAAAGAUCUCUUGUAAAAUUAAUCAUGUCUUCCAAAAAUCUAAGAAAAUAGCCCACUUUAAAUGUAUAUAUAUAUACACACACACACAUGUAUAUAUAUAUAUAUAUCAGAUUUUCUAACUAUAAAUCAGUCAAAAGAUAUAUCAAAGACAUAGAUCAUUGAAACAUAUUUUGUAAAAUACAUGUAUGGAACAGGUUAUGUUAAAUUUUAAAAGAAAGAACUAUUCAAUUCUAAUUGUAUAUGUAGAUAUUUAAAAAUCUGGGAUAGUUUUAAAAUGCUAUAAAAAAAACAACAGGUCAAAAUGAGAUUCCUUUAGAGUCAAGAUGUAUUUCUGUUUUUCAGGACCUAACUCUAAAAACAAUUUGUGACUAGAUGACUAAAAUUAAUCUUUUAUCAAAAUCACUUUGUAUUAGAUACACAUCAAGGAAUUUUACAAAUUCAAACAAAUGGAGAUAUUAUAUUAUGUAUUUUCACCUUGCAAGGUCUUCAUAGGAAACAAUUUUCAAGUGCCCCAGUAGAGAAAUGGCAACUCUGUCUUAACAAUUUAGAAAGGCCAAAAAAUUCCCUGAAAAGACCAGCCUCACAAGAAGCGAGUGAUGCAGACUGGAGUGGUAUAGAUUUCUAUCAUUCCUUCCAUAGAUAUAGAUUUCUUAAAAUGAAAUAUUUCAGUGCUAGAGAAAAUGAGCCUAAUAAGCAGUUUUACUUUUUCCCAAUGGGGCUGUGUACUUGUUGACCACAAUGUAGAAAAAAAAAUAUAAAAUUUAGCAAGAAUUUUUAUUGAACUUUAUAUGUCAGCAUAAAAAGGUGGACAUUACACAAAAAUAAAAAUUGUAAAGGAUAAAACAGAUGGUUAAACAUGGGUAUGGCAUAGGGUCUGUUGAAUCAGAAUUCAUCCAUCGAUUCUCAAUAUUUGAGGUGAGGUGGUUGGUCAUAGGGCACAAAAUGAUGAUCAAGCUUGUAACAUUAAAGACUUAUAAAACAAGAAGCAAUUUUAUUAAAGACUAAUAUGUGUUAAAACCCAUGUUGUAAGGUAUCCACCAUUAUCAUCAGAAGGUAGAAAAAUUAGGAUACAAAACAAAUGUUUCAUUUUAUUUAAUAUAUAUACAUUUAAACCCCAGGAAGUGUCUGAAGAUAAAGGGUGAAAUGAUAAAAGCCCAUGUGCCUGAGUUUGAAUGUGUAUAGAGAUGGGGUAAGUAUUUUGUAGGUUUUAUUUUUACAUUUGUAUGUGUGAUGUGAUGUAAUGUGAUCUGUGCGCGCAUGUGUGUGCGUGCGUGCAUGUGUGUGUGUGUGUGUGUGUACUUAUAGACAUCUACUUGAAUUUUUAACUAUCCACAUUCUUCCUGAAGCAUCUCGUUUGAAAAAAAUUGUUACUGUUUUUAAAAUUAGCAUCCAAUUUCUCUAGUCACAAAAAGAGAAAUGAGCAUAAAAAGAAGCAAAAUGUACAGAUGACCUUCCCACAGCAAGUAUCCGCCUUGUGGGUGACAAGCAUUAAAUUCACCGAGCAUUCAAAUAAACAUCUUUUCUGACAGAGUGGGGGUGUUUAACAAGCAUUUUAUGAACAUUUAAUGGACAAAUAUUUAUAAUGUCUCUCCACGCCUCUGCAGAAUAGAUAAGGCAGCCUAUCAUCCUUCCCAAAAGCAAGCCCCACCUGCACUCCUUCUUCUCCUGUCAAAAUUGCCAGCCUUCCAUGCUGCAGAUGGCAGACACAGUAACAACAGAAUACUUAAUGGUCAGAGAGAAAAUUUCCCAAAGGGAAAAUGGAGAGUUACAUUGGCAGUAAAGUUUUCAUGGCCUUUUCUUCAUUUCUACCACUUCCUGGGUAAUGCAGCCAAUGGCACGUGUUUUCUAUUCUUCCAUAAACACUAUCCUUAGAGGCUUCAAUGCUUCCAACUCCCAACACCAUCCCAGCCAUAGAAGUAAGAUGCCAGCAAUGAACACCUAUGUCUUGCACACUAUUGAAAUAUACUUCAGGGCAAUUCUGCAAUGCUUUGCCCUAUUCCCACUUAGGGCCCUGCCUUGAAGCUAUUUGCGGCCUCUAUCCAUCCAGUCAGCCUCUCAGCCUGAAGUGUCUAUACCUGCCAAUAUGGUAGUCACUAGUUAUUAAAUGGGAGUUUAUUUCUCAUUCCAGAGGUAGCAUUUCAAUAGCUCUUUGUGAUGAGUGGCCAUUGUCCUGGACAGUGCAGACACACCACGAAAAGCCUACUUUUACUAGGUUUCCUAUCGUCUGUUUUACUAUUUGAAGAAUCUUCACCAUGUUUCCAGAUCAUCUUAGCUAGUCCUUUUCAGUUAUGCACACUCUCCUCAUAUGACCCCUACUGAAUGUCUAUAGUUCUGAGACUCAUUAGCAUCCCCAUUUCCAAUGUUCUUUUAAAAUGAUGGUCCAAAAGGAGCUAACUGCAGAACUGUCCUGAGUUACUUACAUACAGUUUUAUUUUGUUGUUAAAGAGCGAUCUAGAAUAUUUAUGACAUCAGAACUCCAGUACAAUUCAUGGGAAGGCUAUUUCCUUCCCAUCCGCCAUCAUUCAUGGCCUCAAGCCUGUCCUGUUCUUAAAUCAUAAGAUUUCCUCAUUUCUGGAUUUGACACACAUUCAUAACAUGUUCACACUACAGCUCUAUUUCCUGUGACUCUAUAAAGUGAGUAUUUCUUAUGUGAGUAGGGUUGUUGUGGUUUUCUUCAAAGGCUAUUGUUCCUAAAGAGCCUAAUAUGCCUGUCUUUUUUUUUCUAUUUUUGCAAGAAUUAUGCAUCCUAAGAAAAUACUGAUAUUGAAUACACUUCCUUGACAGCUAAAAUUUCCCCUCCUUGUGAUAUAUCCAUGCUUACUUUGAAUUGAGUGUGCAUGUCCCUCUAGUGCAUCUCAGUGUGGUUUCUCUCCAGGGAGGCCUUCAUAUCCCUGUCUGGUCCUAGAAUGGCUGCCAUGCAUUUUUAUAUCAAAGCCUUUAUACUUCAACCAAUAUUAUCUAAAGCUCUUAUUUCUAGAGCAGAAUUUCCAUUUGAAGCAUAGAACUGCACACAAGGAUUUACAGAAUAGAAUGGAGUAUUCAGGGAGAUCGUUUCUAACUAUGACAAGAAAUUCCUUGACAGGGAUGAAAACCUGCCUUUGUGAAAUAAAAGACCACGUUCAAAUGCAAGUGGACCUUAGCACAAGAGACUCAUUGAUCACAAAAUUACUUCCACCAGAAAGGAAGAAGGACAACCAUAAAAUCACCAACUAACUACCAUAAAUAGCACUAAUUUCACAAAGAACAAAGUCAGUUAUUUCAUGAAAUCAUUCUAGUUUUUUCUAUCUUAUGAUCCCUUUGUUUUAAGCAUUUUAUUGGAAAGAAUGGGAGAAGAAAAUAGAAUUUGCAAGACUUCUUAUUUCCUUAAUAGUUUGGGCUGAGUGAAUUCAUGGCAAAGUCUCAGAUCAAUUACCAAACCAGGCAUUGAUGAGCCCAUUUCAGCACUAUGUUGGUGGAAGUCAUUAGUAAAUCGUACAUUCUUGGUAUGGAGAAUUCUAAGUUCUAUUCACUUAAUGGGUCGAUAAAUUACCAUUUUUCAAAAAUGUGUUUACCCCUCCUAAAUAUUGGGACUACAGACACCAAGAAAGGCAAAACCCCUAUUAUUGCCUUUUAAUUAUUUUUCCUUUGAGAGCAUCUCAUUUAGCUUAGGCUAGUUUUGAAGUUGUUCCCUAGCUAAGAAUGAUUGUGACUUCUGAUUCUCCUCCAUCAUCCAGUAUUUGCAUUAAAGGUGUGCGUCACUAUUUUCAAUAGCAGUAGAGAUUGAAACCAGGUCUUUGUGCAUGCUGGAAAAACAUUCUACUAACUUAACCACACCCCUAGCCCAAAUUCUAGGUAUUACCCAAGUAAAGAAAUAAAUAACAAAGUACUUAUAACUGAAAGUGUUACAGAAUCAAAACAGACAAAACAUAGUUAGAAUUGCAUUAAGUCUUAGGGCUCCCAGGAGAAACCUUCCAGGUAAGGCAUUAUCUGAGUUAGAAUUGUGUGACAUAGAGAACCAUAUAAAUGACUUGGGAAAGAGGUUGCACACAGAAGAAACCACCCAUGAAAAAUCCCAAAGCAGAUAAGUGGUAUGUAGUGUUUUCACUGUGAAAGAAUUUCCCUAGCCUCUGUGCAGAAUAAUAGACUUGUACAUAGAAAAGCAAGUCAGAAGCAACAGUGCCGUUAAAAGACUAUACAUCCUUCCACUCUGUGAUUCACUGUUAUUGUGAGCCUCAAAUGUCCAUUAUUCAUGAGUCAUCUUGGUCCCUAAGUACAGUGUAUCCUUAUCUGUGCCCUAUAAUCUGUUCCCGGGAAUAUACAUGUUAUGUGUAUCUGUGUUUUCGAUGUUAAACCUGAAAGCUCGAUCAUAAUACUUUGUGGUGAGAACAAGAAGAAUAGAUCAAUUUGAUAGCGUGUGCCCCUCAAUUAUUGAAUCAUGGCAGUGCUCACUAGAAACUGCGCUGCUCGCUCUGGCCUCAUUGUCUGUGCUUUUACAUGAAAAGGCUAAGUCCAGUGUGGCCUUCCUUCCAGUGCCAAGAAUAAAGGCCCAGCCUUUCCAAAGCUUAUCAAUGCUGCUCUGCCACUCAUCCUGCAUCGUGGCAUUUGGGAGAGCUGAUUUUUUUUUUAAUUCAUAGACUGCCUGAAGACAUUUACCCUUUACAAGUGGAAAGCCCUGGGUAAGGCUGUAAAAAUUACAUCCAUGCCAACUUUUUUAAUAAGAGCAAGCACACACAAUUUCAUUUAAUGGCAGGAUGGUAAACACAGAGAAAACACAUUAGUUUCCAUUAGCAAAUGUACUGAUUUUAGUAAAUUAAGGUUUUAUAUAUAUAUAUAUAUAUAUAUAUAUAUAUAUACACACACACAUAUAUGGUGUGUGUAGUAUAGUGUUUUAAUAAUGAUUUUUCUAGUAUGAAGUCUCAAGGCAGCUUGAUGGUCAGGUCUAAAAUUAGACAAUUGUUUGCAUAAAAUUAGUUGUAAUGAAUUGGCUUUAGGCUGAAAAAUCUUAAACUGAAGGUUUUUUUUAAAUAAAUUAUGAAUCUCAGUGUAGUUUGACUCUGCCUUAAAAGAAUGCUGUUUUCUGUAAGUUAUAAAUGUAUUGCCUAUAAUCCUGACUAAAUUAGAUUUCUUUAGUUUUACUUUGAGGAACUAUUUUGACUUCAGCCAUUAUGUAUUUUGAUACACAGAUUAUGAAAAAACAUUUAGUUCUGUGCAUCAGUGUUAAUAGAUUUAAGUUUCAUGGUGAUGAAUUGUUCAUUACAUUUUAUGAUACACUCACAUGUAACUGCAUACAAUGAUUUUAACACUUUGUACAUACACUUAUUCAAAUUAAAUACAUUCACAAAUGGACUUAAUAUGUAAUUAAGUAACAAAGCAUAUUGGUGCAAAAAUGGUUUACUUCAAAGUUCAAGUAUAUGACUGCCAUUAUUAUAUACUAUUCAUAUAACAAUCAAUAUGCACAAUUUUAUGUUCAUAUUUACGUGGUUACGUCCAUAUGCAUGUGGUCAUUAAUGUGCCAUGGCACAUUUUAAAACAGCAACCUGUGAGAUUUGGUUCUCUCCUUCAAUUUUGUGGUUUCUGGAGAACAAAUUCAUAUGGCCAAGCUUGUUGCUAAUCAAGCUCGUUGCUGAAGGCCUUUACCUGUUGUGACAUCUUGUGGCCCCUCCUUCUCUGCACAGCAAAAUAAACAAUUUAUCAAAAUGUGUUUUAAUACCUACAGAGAACACUCUGAGACUUCUUGCUAAAGACGUUUCAACUUGCAAUGUUGUUUUCAGGAGUAUAUAAAAAAGGAGAAAUAAUGGUAAUUGACAUAAGAUGAAUAGUUUGUGAGCUUAUGUAGUUGAUGUAUGUCUCCUCAGAAUAUGCGACUCAUCCAGACACAGAGAUGCAUGCUACCUCAGGAUUGUAUUGUUGGCACACUGCUUGCCUCAGAUAAUUUCUUCUGGUAAUUAUUCUCAUUAGCUUGGCAUAGGCAGCAAAUGAGUCAUAGUUGAAUUUUACGUCCACCACAUACAGUUGAGGUCGGAUCAUAUAAAUUCUUCAGUGUAUCUUCAGAGUAUCUUUGUAACAUUUAAUAAUAGGACUGUCAACAGUAUUUUGCACAAAGGAGUUAGCUAUGGAAAAUAUUCUUCACAACUCUGACAUUUUAAAUUCACAAAGUAUAAUCAAUUCAAGAAGACUAUCCUACAUCACAAAUCACAAGUGUAUUUAUGUUGAACUGAUUUAUCUAGAAUUAAGAAAGCAUCUUUGCCAUUAAGGAAAUAUGGGAAAAUAGAAGCUUUUAUCAAAAGAAAAGAAUUGCACAUCAACUGAAUAUAUGCUACUUUGAAUGGAGGUGGUUAAUUACACCCAAGCGUAAACAUAUAUUUGUCAUAGCAAAAUGUAUUUGUUAUUUGUAUUUCUCUUGUAGAGUUAUAGAUAUUUCUUAUUCAGCUAAUUAGAUAAUGCAGUAUCUAAAAGCAGAACUGUUCAAGGAGAGAUUUGUGGGAGGAGGAAUAAUCAAAUCAAGGCACAAAUCAUAGCCAAAGACCAAGGAAAUGGGUCCUGUAUGUUCUCUUGGAAACAUUUUUUAUGCUAGCAAACCAACUUUGGGGAAAUAAAUACCCUGGUAUUUUCACCCCCUGCACCUGAAAUUAGACUCAUUUUGUGUCUUUUAUUUCCUGCAAGGUGAAAUAUGUAAGUAUUUUAUGUUUAUUUCUCCCACUUUGAACCUAUAGGAAACCUGACACUUUGACUGCUUUGAUCACUUACUUCCUUCCUUCUUGACCAAGUGGGACUCAAAGGCACCCCGUGAUCUAAGCACAACAGAAAACAGCAAGUGUUGAGUCUCCUGGAAGUGAAUUCUAUUUACGUUCUCUUUAUAUUAUCUGAAGGGUCUUACACUGCUGUUUGUAAUCUUGCAAUGCAUAUUGGUACUGAAGGAGGCAAGGCUCUGCUCUAACGGCCUUUCAACUAGUUCCUGGGAGUUGUCUUUCACACAAACAGCAAGUGCUACAGACUUUACCGUCAUGGAAGGAGAAAGAGACAAGUGCACAGGGUGACUGGUAAGAAGCUCAUAGGAAGCACUCACUAUUCCACCAUUCUGAGUACUUUGAAUUAGUAAUAUUUUUGGACGGAAGAACUGAAGUUCACGAGGACCCAUUUAAUGUAUUUAGAUAAGAACACCCCUACUUAUGUAAUUUAGAACUAUUUGUUCUUGAAAUGAUUUCAAAGGCUCAACUGUUAAAAAAAAUAAAUGGAAAGCUUGUUCUGGGUAUUCAGUCUGCAAUGUAUCACUUUAACCCUAAAUCAUGCAUCUUUUCAAUAUAUAGCCACCAUUUCUUCAUAAAGCCUUUUGUGUAACGUCAUGUACAAACAGCUUGUGAGGGGUGUCAGUAGUUUGCAUCUGAGUUUUCCUUCCAUAUAAAGGAGAAAUAAUACCAGCCAAAACAAAGGAAUUAAAGCAAAUGGGCUCUCUUACAAAAGCUAUUGGUAUUUUACAGAUUGGAAUUGAUGUAUAAUUCUCUAAUAUUGAAAAUGAAAGAAACAACUGUUGUCCCAGGAAGUGAUCUUCCAACUUCAGUAACGUUAAAAAGAGAAUUACAAACUCAGGAUUGUAAACAGAAAUGAAAUCCAAACAUAAUGUUCCUCCUCAUAGGGCAUUAGUACUGCAGUGAUCACGAUAUCCACGAUCCAGGGAUUCAUGGAUCUCACCUGUAAUCUGAAAGUGUUUGUAUAUUUUCAAGCCAAGUACUUGGCAAACUGCACAUAAUGGCCUUGCAAUAGAGUGCUUAGUAAUUUCCAAUUCAAAUCUUACCAUCUUCAUGUUAUCAUUUAAACCCAACUUGAGAGGCCUGUGACCAGCCUUCUCCAAGAGAAAUUUGUAUUGACCAUAUACAUAGCAACUUAAAAAUAGGUCACAUGAAGAAGUGGCAUCGAGAACAGUCCUCUUGACAUUUGAUGUAACUGUCUUCACAUGUUCUUUCUUCAUGUUAUUGAAAUGUAGGCCCCUCUGCGUUCCCUCCCACCUCCAACUAUUUCCUGAGAAUUUGUUCAGCUAUUCUAGAACAUAUGACUUUUAUAAAUGUUAUUGCUUAUGUUAACUUUUGGCUAUUUGAUAAGAAUGUUCAUUAACUUUAAAAAAAAAAAAAGCAGGGGAGUGAUUGGGCUGUGUUUAGCAAGAGGAAGAUAUUCCCAUUUAAUAGCCGAAAAGUGAACAUAAAAGCAGACAAGGAUAGGAAGGGAGAGAAUGGGCAAAAUGCCUAUGUCAGAAUGGGUAGAUGUGUCCAUGAGGACACUGUAGUUAAGGAUAUGUGUUCCCUCUUCAUACUCUGAAGUAUUGGAGAGAGACAGAGGAAGAGAUGAAAAUUUCAAAGAGGUUCCCUUCAAAAAAUUCACAUUAAUGACCUGCUAAAAGCUGCUGAGUCCAUUUAGCACGUGGGAUUGAAUGAGACAUUAGUCAACUAAUGAGAAUAGGUCAAUAUCCUUGUUGUAUGUUAGAUCAUCAUUUGGGUAUAUGCUCAGGAGAGGUACAGUUGGGUCCUCAGAUACUGCAAUGUCCAGUUUUCUGACUAACCUCCAGAUUGAUUUCCAGAAUGGUUGUACCAAUUUGCAAUCCCACCAACAAUGAAGGAGUGUUCCUCUUUCUCCACAUCCUUGCCAGCAUCUGUUGUCACCUGAGUUUUUGAUCUUAGACAUUCUGACUGGUGUGAGGUAGAAUCUCAAGGUUGUUUUGAUUUGCUUCCUUGAUGACUAAAGAUGUUGAACAUUUCUUUAGGCACUUCUCAGCCAUUUGAUAUUCCUCAGCUAAGAAUUCUGUGUUUAGCUCUGUUUUGUAAUAGGGUUAUUUAGCUCUCUGUAUUCUAACUUCUUGAGUUCUUUGUGUAUUUUGGAUAUUGGUCCUCUAUUGGAUGUAGGAUUGAUAAAAAUCUAUUCCCAAUUUGUUGCUUGCCAUUUUGUUCUAAUGACAGUGUUCUUUGCCUUAAAGAAGCUUUGUAGUUUUUUUAUGAGGUCCCAUUUGUCGAUUCUUGAUCUUAGAGCAUAAGCCAUUGGUGUUUUGUUCAGGAAAUUUUCCCCAGUGCCCAUGUGUUUGAGGCUCUUCCCCACUUUUUCUUCUAUUAGUUUGAGUGUAUCUGGUUUUAUGUGGAGAUCCUUGAUCCACUUGAACUUGAGCUUUGUACAGGGUGAUAAGAAUGGAUCAAUUUGCAUUCUUCCAUAUGCUGACCUCUAGUUAAACCAGCACCAUUUGUUGAAAAUGCUAUCUUUUUUCCGUUGGAUGGUUUUAGCUCCUUUGUCAAAGAUCAAGUGACCAUAGGUGUGUGGGUUCAUUUCUGGGUCUUCAAUUCUAUUCCACUGAUCUGCCUGCCUGUCUCUUUACCAAUACCAUACAGUUUUUAUCACUCUUGCUCUGUAAUACUGCUUGGAGUCAGGGUUGGUGAUUCCCCAAGAAGUUCUUUUUUUUUUUUUUUUUUUUUUUUUUAAUUAACAGGUUUUAUUUUUUUUAAAUAAUGUAACCUUGAGACAUUAAUUUAAA